ACCUGGGGGACCUGGAUUCCCACGGCUGGGGCCUCCACAGCAGGCGUAGUGCGUCCUCGUACUUGAAGUUCUCGAAGAACACUCGGGCACUCAGCAGCUGGUCCCCUGCGGGCGAGGUGGAGGUGCGCAGCACGUGGGCAUCUCCCGGCUCCGCCCGGGCCUAGUUCUGCCCACUUGCACGGAGCCCUCGCGGUGAGGACCCGCCCCAAAUUUUAGUUUCUCCAAUCCCCAGCGCAGGAUUAAGUCGCAGUUACGCUAGUCCCCGCCCCAUGACCUUAUCCCCGCCCCCUGCAAUGAACAAAGCCGCGCCCACUCAGGCCACGCCCGCACCUUGUCGCUCCCCUACCCAUCCUUACGUUUCAGAUACUGACUUUGCUUCUUUUACCGAGAGAACAGAAUCAGAAGGGAACUUCCAGAAUCUCCCACACUGUGUGUUCACCCCCUUUCUCCUGCGGCGACUUACUCCAUUCGCCUUCCUGUUCCUGGGGAUGAACUAACCCCACUCCUAGCUCAGGGCAAUCUCUCCACCGCCUUCUCAGGGACAUCCUCCAGCAAUUCUCUCCUCUUCCCACGUCAUCAGUUGUCCUUCUCGUCUACAUUAUUCCC
rnacentral:lncRNA from 10 species